rnacentral:rRNA from 1 species
GCAAGUCGAACGGCAGCAUUAUUAAAUUUAUUUAGUAGAUGGCGAGUGGCGCACGGGUGAGUAACGCGUACACAACCUGCCCUUAAGUGGGGUAUAGCCCUGGGAAACUGGGAAUAAUACCGCAUAACAUUAUCGGAUCGCAUGGUUUGAUAAUUAAAGCUGAGGCGCUUAAGGAUGGGUGUGCGUUCCAUUAGUUAGUUGGUGAGGUAACGGCUCACCAAGGCGACGAUGGGUAGGGGGCGUGAGAGCGUGGUC